AUACGGAGGAUGCGAGCGUUAUCCGGAUUUAUUGGGUUUAAAGGGAGCGUAGGUGGGAUAUUAAGUCAGCUGUGAAAGUUUGGGGCUCAACCUUAAAAUUGCAGUUGAUACUGGUUUCCUUGAGUACGGUACAGGUGGGCGGAAUUCGUGGUGUAGCGGUGAAAUGCUUAGAUAUCACGAAGAACUCCGAUCGCGAAGGCAGCUCACCGGGCCGGAACUGACACUGAUGCUCGAAAGUGCGGGUAUCAAACAGGAUUAGAUACCCCGGUAGUCCACACAGUAAACGAUGAAUACUCGCUGUUUGCGAUAUACAGUAAGCGGCCAAGCGAAAGCAUUAAGUAUUCCACCUGGGGAGUACGCCGGCAACGGUGAAACUUAAAGGAAUUGACGGGG
rnacentral:rRNA from 1 species